rnacentral:rRNA from 1 species
AGUGAACGCUGGCGGUAGGCCUAACACAUGCGAGUCGAACGGCAGCACAGUAAGAGCUUGCUCUUACGGGUGGCGAGUGGCGGACGGGUGAGGAAUACAUCGGAAUCUACUUUUUCGUGGGGGAUAACGUAGGGAAACUUACGCUAAUACCGCAUACGACCUACGGGUGAAAGCAGGGGAUCUUCGGACCUUGCGCGAUUGAAUGAGCCGAUGUCGGAUUAGCUAGUUGGCGGGGUAAAGGCCCACCAAGGCGACGAUCCGUAGCUGGUCUGAGAGGAUGAUCAGCCACACUGGAACUGAGACACGGUCCAGACUCCUACGGGAGGCAGCAGUGGGGAAUAUUGGACAAUGAGCGCAAGCCUGAUCCAGCCAUACCGCGUGGGUGAAGAAGGCCUUCGGGUUGUAAAGCCCUUUUGUUGGGAAAGAAAAGCAGCAGGUUAAUACCUCGCUGUUCUGACGGUACCCAAAGAAUAAGCACCGGCUAACUUCGUG